UACGGAGGGCGCAAGCGUUGUUCGGAAUCACUGGGCGUAAAGCGCGUGUAGGCGGCUUUGCAAGUCGGGUGUGAAAUCCCGAGGCUCAACCUCGGAACUGCACUCGAUACUGCUUGGCUCGAGUCCCGGAGAGGGUGGCGGAAUUCCCGGUGUAGGGGUGAAAUCCGUAGAUAUCGGGAGGAACAUCAGUGGCGAAGGUGGCCACCUGGACGGUGAAUGACUUUGAGACGCGAAAGCGUGGGGGGCAAACAGG
rnacentral:rRNA from 1 species